rnacentral:rRNA from 1 species
GACAGAGGGUGCAAACGUUGUUCGGAAUUACUGGGCGUAAAGCGCGUGUAGGCGGCUAUGCAAGUCGGAUGUGAAAGCCCUCGGCUCAACCGGGGAAGUGCACCCGAAACUGCAAAGCUAGAGUCUCGGAGAGGAUCGUGGAAUUCUCGGUGUAGAGGUGAAAUUCGUAGAUAUCGGGAGGAACACCAGUGGCGAAGGCGGCGACCUGGACGGACAUUGACGCUGAGACGCGAAAGCGUGGGGAGCAAACAGG